UUUAUUAUAUUAACAUAACAUAAGGUUUACAGGACUAUUUACAUUACAACAUACAACUUUUACACAAUGAGCCCAACAACAUAUCCUAGUCCCUGAACACUCACACAUGUGUGCAAACAUAAAGUAAAACAACAAUUCUGUCUUCCAUCAACCUAAGUCUUGAAUGGCAGAGCAGCACCAGAGACGUCUUCUGGGAAUUGACCACUACCUGGGGAGGGGAAACAUUUAAUGUGACGCCCCAAAGAUUUGUACAUUUAUUUAAAAAGAGUUGAUGGUUAAUUUAGGAGAAGGAAAAAGGGAAUUAGGGUUAUAAAUGAGAUUUGGGGACCUUGGGUUGCGUGCAAAAGGAAAAAAAAAAGAGAAAACAAAAUUUUUUUCUUCUCUUCUUCUUCCUGCGUCCAGACUCGCGAAGCGCCUUCACAGUGCUCGUCCGACGCCGCUUCCUCGCUCCUCAACCCAACAUGUCUCGCCGAUCGUUUUUUUCUCUCUUCCCUGUCCGUCGAACCGAAGCGACGAGCGGCGAGCCGAUCGCCUUUUCUUCCCCGUCCGUCGAUCGAUCGUAGGUUCUGGUCAUUUCGACGACUUGAAGCUUCGACCGCCUCCACCCGCUCGAUCGUGGGUCUCCAACAGCGCAAGAUUCCAGUCGCUACAGCCAGGCAAGAUUCCAGUCGUUCCAGUCGCGCCGAGUUCUUCGAUCGUUUUCUUCCGUCUCCGUUCUCCGUCCGCCAGCUGCCGGUCUAAACCCUAAGCGCCGUUCGCCUGUCGCCGGUUCUGGUCGCUGUAAGAUUGCGGUAGUUCCGACCGAUUUGUCUGUUGGGAAAGUUCAGUUCCUUUUUUUGGCAGCCCAUUGUCAUUUAGGAUUCUUGGGCCUAAGCCAACCUUCACCUAUGGAAUUUGUUUUCAGGAAUGUGUGGCGGUGAAGGAAGUUUUCGAGCGGAGUGAGGGUUUGUUUUGGGACAGUUCAUUAUCUUGAGGUAAGGGUAAUGACAGACCGACGAUAAGAGAGAGAUCUGUGACCUGGCCAUUAGGACGACUGACUGAAGCACUUAAUAUCAUGUUUUUUUGGAGUCUGGUUUAGGAGAUAGGCUUUUUAAACUCUAUGCAAAAUUUAUUAAUUUUAUUAUUUGACUAUUUAAUUGUUUUCAUUUUAAAGUUGGGUUUAGGGGUAUCCUGAACAGUAAAUUUUUAUUUUAUUUUAUUUU